rnacentral:tRNA from 1 species
UGCGCGGUGGAGCAGUGGCAGCUUACCAGAGUGCUUUUCUGGAUGUCGGAGGUUCGAUUCCUCCCUGCGCGA